AUACUACUCCUCCGUCCGGAAAUACUUGUUCUUGAAAUGGUUGUAUCUAGAGUUAUUUUAGUUAUAGAUACAUUUAUUUACAACCAUUCUGAGGACAAGUAUUUUCGAACGGAGGGAGUACGAA
rfam:Triticum aestivum genome assembly, contig: Triticum_aestivum_CS42_TGACv1_scaffold_526732_6DL